UUCUGGGCUCCAUAACCAGCCAAGCGAAGUGAGCGAGGCAGGCCGACCUGAGUCGCGACGUGCACUGUUUUGAGGUGAUUCGUAAACUUAGGCAGGCCAACUCGAGACGAGACGCAAGGUGUACCGAAGUGAGACGCCCAUCCGGAGGAGGAGUUCGCUGGGACGAGAUAGAAUAUUAAAUUAUUAUUUUGCCUUAUAUUGUCUAUAAUUUAGAAUUAAUAGAUUUUCUUUGUUUUCAA
rnacentral:lncRNA from 1 species